rnacentral:rRNA from 1 species
UACGUAGGUGGCAAGCGUUGUCCGGAUUUACUGGGCGUAAAGAGCGCGCAGGCGGUCGUUCAAGUCGCGUGUGAAAGCCCCCGGCUCAACUGGGGAGGGUCACGCGAUACUGAUCGACUCGAAGGCAGGAGAGGGUAGUGGAAUUCCCGGUGUAGUGGUGAAAUGCGUAGAUAUCUGGAGGAACACCGGUGGCGAAGGCGGCAUCCUGGACCAACACUGACGUUGAGGAGCGAAAGCCAGGGGAGCAAACGGG